rnacentral:rRNA from 1 species
AUUGAACGCUGGCGGCAGGCCUAACACAUGCAAGUCGAGCGGAUGAAGGGAGCUUGCUCCUGGAUUCAGCGGCGGACGGGUGAGUAAUGCCUAGGAAUCUGCCUGGUAGUGGGGGAUAACGUCCGGAAACGGGUGCUAAUACCGCAUACGUCCUGAGGGAGAAAGUGGGGGAUCUUCGGACCUCACGCUAUCAGAUGAGCCUAGGUCGGAUUAGCUAGUUGGUGGGGUAAAGGCCUACCAAGGCGACGAUCCGUAACUGGGCUGAGAGGAUGAUCAGUCACACUGGAACUGAGACACGGUCCAGACUCCUACGGGAGGCCGCAGUGGGGAAUCUUGGACAAUGGGCGAAAGCCUGAUCCAGCCAUGCCGCGUGUGUGAAGAAGGUCUUCGGAUUGUAAAGCACUUUAAGUUGGGAGGAAGGGCAGUAAGUUAAUACCUUGCUGUUUUGACGUUACCAACAGAAUAAGCACCGGCUAACUUCGUG